CCUACGGGAGGCAGCAGUGGGGAAUAUUGCGCAAUGGGCGAAAGCCUGACGCAGCGACGCCGCGUGAGGGAUGAAGGUCUUCGGAUCGUAAACCUCUGUCAGCAGGGAAGAACGGUCACUGUGCUAAUCAGCAGUGAAUUGACGGUACCUGCAAAGGAAGCAACGGCUAACUCCGUGCCAGCAGCCGCGGUAAUACGGAGGUUGCGAGCGUUAAUCGGAAUUAAUGGGCGGAAAGCGCUCGUAGGCGGUAUGUCAAGUCAAGGGUGAAAUCCCCGGGCUCAACGUGGGGACUGCCUUUGAAACUGGCAAACUGGAGUGAGUGAGAGGAUAGUGGAAUUCCAGGUGAAGGAGUGAAAUCCGUAGAUAUAUGGAAGAACAUCAGUGGCGAAGGCGACUAUCUGGCACAUAACUGACGCUGAGGGGCGAAAGCGUGGGUAGCAAACAGGAUUAGAUACCCGGGUAGUC
rnacentral:rRNA from 1 species